GUGGGGAAUAUUGCGCAAUGGGGGCAACCCUGACGCAGCAACGCCGCGUGCAGGAAGAAGGUCUUCGGAUUGUAAACUGUUGUCGCAGGGGAAGAAGACAGUGACGGUACCCUGUGAGAAAGUCACGGCUAACUACGUGCCAGCAGCCGCGGUAAUACGUAGGUGACAAGCGUUGUCCGGAUUUACUGGGUGUAAAGGGCGCGUAGGCGGGAUAGCAAGUCAGUCGUGAAAUGCCGAGGCUUAACCUCGGAGCUGCGAUUGAAACUGUUAUUCUUGAGUAUCGGAGAGGAAAGCGGAAUUCCUAGUGUAGCGGUGAAAUGCGUAGAUAUUAGGAGGAACACCAGUGGCGAAGGCGGCUUUCUGGACGACAACUGACGCUGAGGCGCGAAAGUGUGGGGAGCAAACAGG
rnacentral:rRNA from 1 species